CACGUAGGCACCAAGCGUUAUCCGGAUUUAUUGGGCGUAAAGAGCUCGUAGGCGGUUCGGUAAGUCGGGUGUGAAAACUCUGGGCUCAACCCAGAGCCGCCACCCGAUACUGCUGUGACUUGAGUUCGGUAGGGGAGCGGGGAAUUCCUGGUGUAGCGGUGAAAUGCGUAGAUAUCAGGAGGAACACCGGUGGCGAAGGCGGCUCUCUGGACCACAACUGACGCUGAGGCGCGAAAGCUAGGGGAGCAAACAGG
rnacentral:rRNA from 1 species